GAGGUUUGCUCUGUACAAGGAUGGAGAGGAGGCACCUAUGGGCACCAGUGAGUGGACUCAGGAUGGAGCAGAAUUCCCUUUGAUCCACGUAAGAGUCAACCAGACUGGAAAGUAUAGGUGCCGCUAUCUGCUUGGGACAGACAGCUCUGUCGUGGCGCUGCCCAGUGAUUCCCUGGAACUUAUAAUACAAGAGCAGAACAAAAGUCUUCUCAAGAGAGCCAUUCUCAUCACUGCCUUCAGCUGCGCCUCCAUCCUCUUCCUCCUCCUCUUCUUGACUUCUGUUGGUCAUUGCCACGCCCAGAGUGUGGUUUCACACAGAGAGACUUCCAGAAGAUCCCCAAGGUGCCUAUGUUGUUCUUGGUUUGUCUGCUUUUCUUCUAAAUCUGGAGCUUCCCAAGAAGAGACCAAAUAUGCCCAAGUGGCCAAGUGCAGACACUCAAGAACACCUGUCCCUGAGGCUGAAGACCCCGAGGGACUGAUAUAUAUUCAACUGAAUCCACCAGCCCUGAAUGAACGGCAGAUAGCCCCUGUGAAGACAUGCCCUGAUCCAACAACAUACGCAACUCUUGCCCUGCGUUGACGGACAACAACUUCUCUUUGUGUCUGUUCUUUCCUAAUUCCAAACAAACUGGCCAGUCUGCUGUUCUUCAAGCCUGAGUCCUUCUCCCAUCUCCAUGCCCUUCCAAAAGGAUAUCUCCACUGUUUCCCCACUCUUGGAAUGGAUUCCCACCUUGUUUGUGUCUCUUAGAGUUCUUCAAGGCUCAGCUCAAGGAUAUCCUCUCACACAAGACCUCUCCAGAUUCCUCCCUUACCAGUAUGUUUUUUAGUCACCAUUUAUGUAAACACUGAACUUAACAAACACCAAUAAAAUGAACACUUCUGUAUACA
rnacentral:lncRNA from 1 species